rnacentral:rRNA from 1 species
AAUGAACGCUGGCGGCAGGCUUAACACAUGCAAGUCGAGCGGGUGACGCGAGCUUGCUUGUGGACUCAGCGGCGGACGGGAGUAAAAUGUAUAAGAAUCCGCCUGGGAGUGGGGGAAAACGUCCGAACACGGGCGAUAAUACCGCAUACGUCGUGAGGGAGAAAGUGAGGGAUCUUCGGACCUCCCGCUAUCAGAUGAGCCUAGGUCGGAUUAGAUAGUUGGUGGUGUAAAGGACUACCAAGGCGACGAUCCGUAACUGGUCUGAGAGGAUGAUCAGUCACACUGAGAGUGAGACACGGUCCACACUCGGACGGAAAGCAGCAGUGGGCAAUAGUGGGCGAUGGGCGAAGGCCAUAUCCAGCCAUGCCGCGUGUGUGAAGAGGGUCAUCGGGUGGGAAAGCACUUGAAGUGGGGAUGGAGAGCAUUAAUUUAAGACCUUGCUGUUAUGACGGUACCAGCAGAAUAAGCACCGGCUAACUUCGUG